UGAAUACGAGAUGCUACGGCGUCGAAGCAGUGUAUGUCAGACUUCCAAGAAAAGCUCGCAAUGUCAUAAAUAAAGAAUGCCUGUACCAUAACCGACACAGGUGGGUAGGUAGAGUAUACUAAGGGGCGCGAGAUAACUCUCUCUAAGGAACUCGGCAAAAUAACUCCGUAACUUCGGGAGAAGGAGUGCCUUCUUUAAGAAGGUUGCAAUAACAAGAUCCAAGCAACUGUUUAUCAAAAACACAGGUCUCCGCUAAGUCGUAAGACGAUGUAUGGGGGCUGACGCCUGCCCAGUGCCAGAAGGUUAAAGAAGCUGGUUAGCAAUAGCGAAGCUGGUGACUGAAGCCCUGGUGAACGGCGGCCGUAACUAUAACGGUCCUAAGGUAGCGAAAUUCCUUGUCGGGUAAGUUCCGACCCGCACGAAAGGCGUAAUGAUUUGGAUACUGUCUCGGAGAGGGACUCGGUGAAAUAGACUUGUCUGUGAAGAUGCGGACUACCUGCACCAGGACAGAAAGACCCUAUGAAGCUUUACUGUAACCUGAAAUUGAAAUUGGACUUUAUUUGCGCAGUAUAGGUGGGAGGCGUUGAAAGUAAUCUUGCGGGAUUAGUGGAGCCAUCAGUGAGAUACCACUCCUAUAAUGUUAGAUUUCUAACUUUGGAUCAUAAUCUGGUCAAAGAACAGUUUCAGGCGGGCAGUUUGACUGGGCGGUCGCCUCCCAAAUGGUAACGGAGGCGUACAAAGGUUUCCUCUGAACGGGUAGAAAUCGUAUCUAGAGUGUAAAGGCAUAAGGAAGCUUGACUGUGAGACCUACAAGUCGAGCAGGGACGAAAGUCGGUCUUAGUGAUCUGACGGUGCUGAGUGGAAAGGCCGUCACUCAACGGAUAAAAGUUACUCUAAGGAUAACAGGCUGAUCUCCCCCAAGAGUUCACAUCGACGGGGAGGUUUGGCACCUCGAUGUCGGCUCAUCGCAUCCUGGGGCGGUAGUACGUCCCAAGGGUUGGGCUGUUCGCCCAUGAAAGCGGUACGCGAGCUGGGUUCAGAACGUCGUGAGACAGUUCGGUCCAUAUCCGGUGUAGGCGUUAGAAUAUUGAGAGGAGCCUUCUCUAGUACGAGAGGACCGAGAAGGACAUACCUCUGGUGUACCAGUUAUCGUGCCAACGGUAAACGCUGGGUAGCUAUGUAUGGAGAGGAUAACCGCUGAAAGCAUCUAAGUGGGAAGCCCACCUCAAGAUGAGUAUUCUC
rnacentral:rRNA from 1 species